rnacentral:rRNA from 1 species
AUUAGAUACCCUGGGUAGUCCAUGCCGUAAACGAUGAGUGCUAGGUGUUGGAGGGUUUCCGCCCUUCAGUGCCGGAGCUAACGCAUUAAGCACUCCGCCUGGGGAGUACGACCGCAAGGUUGAAACUCAAAGGAAUUGACGGGGGCCCGCACAAGCGGUGGAGCAUGUGGUUUAAUUCGAAGCUACGCGAAGAACCUUACCAGGUCUUGACAUCUUGCGCUAACCUUAGAGAUAAGGCGUUCCCUUCGGGGACGCAAUGACAGGUGGUGCAUGGUACGUCGUCAGCUCGUGUCGUGAGAUGUUGGGUUAAGUCCCGCAACGAGCGCAACCCUUGUUACUAGUUGCCAGCAUUAAGUUGGGCACUCUAGUGGGACUGCCGGUGACAAACCGGAGGAAGGUGGGGACGACGUCAGAUCAUCAUGCCCCUUAUGACCUGGGCUACACACGUGCUACAAUGGACGGUACAACGAGUCGCGAGCUCGCGAGAGUAAGCUAAUCUCUUAAAGCCGUUCUCAGUUCGGACUGUAGGCUGCAACUCGCCUACACGAAGUCGGAAUCGCUAGUAAUCGCGGAUCAGCAUGCCGCGGUGAAUACGUUCCCGGGCCUUGUACACACCGCCCGUCACACCAUGGGAGUUUGUAACGCCCAAAGUCGGUGGCCUAACCUUUAUGGAGGGAGCCGCCUAAGGCGGGACAGAUGACUGGGGUGAAG